rfam:Paracoccidioides sp. &apos;lutzii&apos; Pb01 unplaced genomic scaffold supercont2.7, whole genome shotgun sequence.
GCCGGGCUAGCUCAAUCGGUAGAGCGUGCGGCUCUUAGAUCCGUCAAAUGUCGCUGUCAUGUGACCGCAAGGUUGCGGGUUCGACCCCCGCGUUCGGCU